rnacentral:lncRNA from 1 species
CCCGGGGCGCGGGCGGGGAGGUCGGCGGGGAGCCGAGCAGCGGGGGGAAAGGUGAACCCGGAGCCGAGCGGGGCACAAACCCAUUAGUCGCACAUAACUUGGGAAGACGCUUGGCCUCGCCAUGACAACCGGCGGCCCGGGCUGCUCCCACGUCCCGCCGCCUCCCCCGGGAGCCCCUUUACGUCCUCUUUCCCGGCGCUUGGGGAAUGCGGAGCUGGAGAGACGAGCCCGGGAGGAAAAAUACCUGUCGUCCCGCAAUGCAAAUCCUUAUGCAAAUAGAUCUGCGGGUGCACGGGGAGUUGCUGGCAGCCUGACCUGCCAGCCGAGAGUCGCUGGCCCCGAGUUUAGAGGUGCCGGCCAGCAGCGGCACGCCCCGAAAGGACAUGGGAUCUUGAAGACUCCCUGUUAGUACCUCGGAACUUGCUGCUGCCUCAGAAAAGUUCGAGAAAGAGUCUGCGGUUAAUCUCCGAGGCCUUCAUACAUCCCUGGCGAGCAGCGCCCCAGCGCUAAGUGCAAUUAACAUAACAGACACUAAAAUAGGAGAGCGGCGCUGAAUUUAAUUUGCAGGCUUAGGAAAAAAAAAAAAAAAACAAAAAAAAACCACACACCAAAAACUUAGCACUUAGAGCGGUCUGGUGAUGAACGCAAGAAGUGAUGGGGAAGGCGGCCGAGUAGCCCUCCUGCCUCGGAGCGGGGCCGCGGCCAGUUCCGUGGACCCUCUCCGGGAGCCGGGACCACCUUGGUGCGCGCAGGUUUCUAGGCAGGUAAACUCCUCCGACGGAGCUGCCUCUCGCUACAUCGCCCCAGCGCGGCUCGCCCCCUCGGCCAGCGCUCCCGUGGCGACCAGGUCAACCGCAGCGCGACCAGGUCGCCGGCGCGGGCAGGCACCUCCCAGAGCCUCCCCGCUGCCCGCCCCGAC